CAGAGUGUUUCCAUGUGGUCGCCUUUCGGAUGAAGGUCAAGAUGAGCAGAGACCACCAAGCACAUUUCAAGAAGGAUAUUAGAUUUCACUGGAGCCAGGAACUCAGAAAUACACUCUGUGGUCUGUGGGAAUCGCAAGCCCUCCUCAUACACCUCUAAGCACAAGAAGCGCUCGUUCACAAAAAGAGGGAGAGGAUAUUUCUGCUACUGUCUUGCCCUUGUUCUCCAAGGACCUCCUCAUCCCUGUUUUGCCAAACCUCCUGGUUCCCCCUGGUGUGUGAGCUGGUGUUGGGGACGCUCAGGUCCCCACUUCUCAGACUGGUGGAAACCCUCAGAGAGAUCAACAUCUGAAAAUCCAUCUCAAUGAUUUUUCUGGAACUAGGCACCCUGACCUCAGCUGCUUAAUGUUAAUAGACCAAGAAUGCAAACAGCGAAGCACAAAAACAUUCCUGGAAAGAAGAAUGUUCUCCACUUAGUAGGCGGGUGAGUAACAUGAUAAGAGCCUUAAGGCCAGGAGCUAGAUGAUGGUCAUAUCGCUAGGACCCCUGCUUUUGGUCUCCGCAGUUGCGAGCUGCUAACAGCAUCUGGCGUCCAUCAGGCCUGGGUGAGGAAUGCUGGCAGGGCUAUUUGUGGAGCCAGUUCCUGAGAGCACACUUAAGACACCUCAUACAUUUCGAGCUUUCUCCCACCUCUUGGGGUGCGGGGGUGGGGGAUACCGGCUGUGAUUGUGUUUAUGGUGGAGAGGGAUGAAAUGUUUUGGGGAGUCACCAUGCCUUUUCAAUGCUCUGUUCCUCUUUGAGAAUUGCUCUUGCAAGUGUGUCCUUACCUCUAGUCCCUAAGGAUUUUAGAAACUCAAACCAACAGAGGGUGAAAAAUCACAACUUGGGGUCAGACUAGCUAAUUAUCAUUCGGCUUGUUCACCCCUGCAGAGUCAUCAACUUCCCUUAGCAAAUUUGGGGACACUUGGACUUUCCUUCUGCUUGGGUUUCACAUCCGUCUACAGCCUGGGAACAGUUUUAUUCCCCAGGAUGCUCUGGCUUCCACUGCAGCAGGCGGGAGCAUUUACCAUCCCAUAAUAUUCCACCCCCUCCCCUCUCCUCCUCUCACCCAGGCUUCUCCUCAUCCCGCCCCUCAAGCCACAUCUUCAGGACGCCUUUUCGAAUAUGGCUUAGCCCUUGAUCUGAACUCCCUCAGAACCUAUUUCUGUACUGCAGUUUCACAUUUAAUUAGAUCCUGUUGUUUAGAGUCAACUUUAAGUAUAAAUGCACUUUUGGAGUUCCCGUCG